GACACGCUGGCGGCGUGCCUAACACAUGCAAGUCGAGCGAGUGAAUCUCCUUCGGGAGUGAAGCUAGCGGCGGACGGGUGAGUAACACGUGGGCAACCUGCCUCAUAGAGGGGAAUAGCCUUUCGAAAGGAAGAUUAAUACCGCAUAAGAUUGUAGCUUCGCAUGAAGUAGCAAUUAAAGGAGUAAUCCGCUAUGAGAUGGGCCCGCGGCGCAUUAGCUAGUUGGUGAGGUAACGGCUCACCAAGGCGACGAUGCGUAGCCGACCUGAGAGGGUGAUCGGCCACAUUGGGACUGAGACACGGCCCAGACUCCUACGGGAGGCAGCAGUGGGGAAUAUUGCACAAUGGGGGAAACCCUGAUGCAGCAACGCCGCGUGAGUGAUGACGGCCUUCGGGUUGUAAAGCUCUGUCUUCAGGGACGAUAAUGACGGUACCUGAGGAGGAAGCCACGGCUAACCUACGUG
rnacentral:rRNA from 1 species